UAACGCGUAGUUAACCUACCCUGAAGCCUGGAAUAACCUCUCGAAAGGGGGGCUAAUACCGGAUAACAAUGGAUGCCUGGUGGCAACUAUUUGAAAGAUUUAUCACUUCAGGAUGGGACUGCGUACCAUUAGUUUGUUGGUGGGGUAAAGGCCUACCAAGACUUCGAUGGUUAGCGGGUCUGAGAGGAUGAUCCGCCACACUGGAACUGAGACACGGUCCAGACUCC
rnacentral:rRNA from 1 species